rnacentral:rRNA from 1 species
CCUACGGGUGGCAGCAGUGAGGAAUAUUGGUCAAUGGGCUUACGCCUGAACCAGCGAAGUCGCGUGAGGGAAGACUGCCCUAUGGGUUGUAAACCUCUUUUGUCAGGGAGCAACGCCUGCUACGUGUAGCCUGACUGAGAGUACCUGAAGAAAAAGCAUCGGCUAACUCCGUGCCAGCAGCCGCGGUAAUACGAAGGAUGCGAGCGUUAUCCGGAUUUAUUGGGUUUAAAGGGUGCGUAGGCGGAAUGCCAAGUCAGCGGUAAAAUCGCGGGGCUCAACCUCGAUCCGCCGUUGAAACUGGCGGUCUGGAGUGGGCGAGAGGUAAGCGGAAUGCGUGGUGUAGCGGUGAAAUGCAUAGAUAUCACGCAGAACUCCGAUUGCGAAGGCAGCAUACCGGCGCCCAACUGACGCUGAAGCACGAAAGCGUGGGUAUCGAACAGGAUUAGAUACCCGGGUAGUC